GCUCCUUCGAGAGCAGCAGCUCGGAGGCCAGGCCGUGUGGCAGCAGGGUUCGACCCUGCUGUGUCCGGCUGCAGCAAGCAAGCUGUCAGGAGGACAGCCAGUCUUCGACAUCGUGUUCUCCGGUCCCACAAAAGAUGGCCGGGUCGUGCUGACGGAGAGCGCCAGCGCAAGUGACAGGGGCAGCCAUGGGUACAGUCGGUGCGUAGGUCGCAUGAGUCAUGGUGGCGGUGGGCAAUGUACGACUGCGGAGCUCCAAGGUGACUUGAGGGAUUCCAGCAAUCUCCACCAAAUGUAAUGAUGUUUAAUUAAAGGACAGACGCGUUUACUUCACGCCCCUGCUGCAACAGCCCUGGUUGGCUGCAGUACCUCCAAAGAAAUUAAUAAAAGCGAAGUAACCACUGUGAAGCAGUACAACUGCUGUCACAGUAAUGAGCAACACUAGGCCAUUCUGAACAUUCUGCGACUAAACAGCCUGAGCAACA